rnacentral:rRNA from 1 species
GGUCCAGACUCCUACGGGAGGCAGCAGUAGGGAAUCUUCCGCAAUGGGCGAAAGCCUGACGGAGCAACGCCGCGUGAGUGAUGAAGGUCUUCGGAUCGUAAAACUCUGUUAUUAGGGAAGAACAUAUGUGUAAGUAACUGUGCACAUCUUGACGGUACCUAAUCAGAAAGCCACGGCUAACUACGUGCCAGCAGCCGCGGUAAUACGUAGGUGGCAAGCGUUAUCCGGAAUUAUUGGGCGUAAAGCGCGCGUAGGCGGUUUUUUAAGUCUGAUGUGAAAGCCCACGGCUCAACCGUGGAGGGUCAUUGGAAACUGGAAAACUUGAGUGCAGAAGAGGAAAGUGGAAUUCCAUGUGUAGCGGUGAA